rnacentral:rRNA from 1 species
UGCAAGUCGAACGAGAUCUUCGGAUCUAGUGGCGCACGGGUGCGUAACGCGUGGGAAUCUGCCCUUGGGUUCGGAAUAACAGUUAGAAAUGACUGCUAAUACCGGAUGAAGUCUACGGACCAAAGAUUUAUCGCCCAGGGAUGAGCCCGCGUAGGAUUAGCUAGUUGGUGGGGUAAAGGCCUACCAAGGCGACGAUCCUUAGCUGGUCUGAGAGGAUGAUCAGCCACACUGGGACUGAGACACGGCCCAGACUCCUACGGGAGGCAGCAGUGGGGAAAUAUUGGACAUGGGGGCAACCCUGAUCCAGCAAUGCCGCGUGAGUGAUGAANGGCCUCGGGGUCGUAAGCUCUUUUACCGGGAUGAUAUGACAGUACCGGGAGAAUAGCCCCGGCUACUCCGUG